rnacentral:lncRNA from 1 species
UGACAACCCCUCUUCUACAAGAUGGUGAGGCAUGGCGUCAGCAUGUGUUCCCAGAUGGGAGACCUGGGAUGUGGAAUGUUGAGGGAAGAGACUGGAGAAUUCUUGACCUGGUUGGGCUCUGCCUUUCUCCCAGCUCCUCAUUCAUCUCCCCUCUGGUACUUGCUGCUCACUCUUCUCACAUUCCUGCCUGGGGAGUUCUCUUCAGUGAAUUGUGGCGUUUGGGCUGGGAGGGUUGGAGCCCACAGGCUCCGCGUUUCCAGCAUCCCCUCACUGACAGGGUGUGUAGCACAAGAAACACAUGUGCCAGGCUGUUUCUUCUGAGGGCCAGAAUUUGGAGUCACUGUUACAUUGCGUGGGAUGAUAAGUCACACACACAAAUCUAGAACUUGGGAGUGGAGCAAGCUGGCCCAGCCCCGUAUGGAUGCCUGAUCUUGUUGGCACUGCUUCCUCCUGUCACCACAGCACUGUGUCGGGUUACCAAGGAGACAGGAACGUUCUGAUGAUAUGCUCCCCAGAGCGUGGGUGGCAGCAGACAGUCAGUCAUCAAGGACAACACCCUAAUGCUUGGCUGCGCCCCUCCUCCCACACCCCAAAAGAAGCCACACAAGGAGCUGGAAUUCCAGGGGCUGCCUUUGGAAUUCAAAGCAGGGCUUGUCCACACAUACUCUCUGGUCCUCUGUGCCUCUUAAGGAGAUUCUUGCUGUUGGAUCUGUUGGCUUCUCUAAGCCUUGGGAGUGUAUUUGUGUUGUAAGAAGACACCUGGGUUUUUUCAAGGAUCCGAAGAGAUUGGCGGCGGAGCUCACCUGCUGUCUUAUGGAUGUAAGGCUGUGAGACGGGGUCCUUGAUCAUCACGGAGGCCCAGGUAAAUUGGAAGGAGAGGUGCCAGAAGCAAGAUCCUUAGGCCCCAAGGUCUGGGAUUCCUCCUCUGAGCUCGCCGGCCUUCAGCAGAACAAAAUGCACAGCAUGGAGACGUCCACCCAAAUUUGAGAAGAAACAAUGCUGUCUACCGGCGAACUCUGAUGACGAGCUGGCUCCGUUUCUACGUGCCAAUGCCUCAAUGAGACCACGAUUUGAUUUGACAAGCCUUUGGGAGUAUACAGGAAUUACAUAAUAAUGCUACCAAACACGCCUAGUGCUUUCAUCUUUAC